GCCGGAGUGGUGAAAUUGGUAGACACGCUGCGUUCAGGUCGCAGUCCUCGCAAGGGGGUGGAGGUUCAAGUCCUCUCUCCGGCACUA
rnacentral:tRNA from 1 species